CCUACGGGAGGCAGCAGUAGGGAAUAUUGGUCAAUGGGCGAGAGCCUGAACCAGCCAUGCCGCGUGCAGGAAGAAGGCCCUCUGGGUUGUAAACUGCUUUUGACAGGGGCCAAAAUACUCAUGCGUGAGGAAUUGAGAGUACCUGUAGAAUAAGCACCGGCUAACUCCGUGCCAGCAGCCGCGGUAAUACGGAGGGUGCAAGCGUUGUCCGGAUUUAUUGGGUUUAAAGGGUGCGUAGGUGGCCUUAUAAGUCAGUGGUGAAAGCCUGCAGCUUAACUGUAGGACUGCCAUUGAUACUGUAGGGCUUGAGUACUGAUGAGGUAGGCGGAAUUGAUAGUGUAGCGGUGAAAUGCAUAGAUAUUAUCAAGAACACCGAUUGCGAAGGCAGCUUACUAAGGAGUUACUGACACUGAGGCACGAAAGCGUGGGGAGUACAACAGAUAGUAUACCUACGUAGUACACGACCACUAACGAAUAGUAUUACUACGUAUAGUA
rnacentral:rRNA from 1 species